rnacentral:rRNA from 1 species
UACCAGCUCUCCGAGUGGUGUGGAUGUUUAUUGGGCCUAAAGCAUCCGUAGCUGGCUGGACAAGUCCCCUGUUAAAUCCACCGAUUUAAUCGUUGGAGUGCGGGGGAUACUGUUCGGCUAGGGGACGGGAGAGGCAGACGGUAUUUUCGGGGUAGGGGUGAAAUCCUAUAAUCCCGGGAAGACCACCAGUGGCGAAGGCUGUCUGCUAGAACGCGCCCGACGGUGAGGGAUGAAAGCUGGGGGAGCGAACCGGAUUAGAUACCCGGGUAGUCCCAGCUGUAAACGAUGCAGGAUAGGUGUUUGGGCGGCCACGUGCCGCUCUAGUGCCGCAGGGAAGCCGUUAAGCCUGUCGCCUGGGGAGUACGGCCGCAAGGCUGAAACUUAAAGGAAUUGGCGGGGGAGCACCACAAGGGGUGAAGCUUGCGGUUU